rnacentral:lncRNA from 1 species
UGAAACCAAAUCUGAUCAAAAGAGAAAGUGUUCAUAUUUAUCAAGGAACUGUAUUUGUCACAGAAGUUCUGGUGAAAAAAGAAAAAUGUUUUAUUGUUGUGUUAAGAUAAGGAAUGAGGACAUGUCAGCAGAACUGGCACCAUCCCAUGGGAUGUAUCUGUUUGCAGCAGCAGGCAUUUCCCUCACAGCUGCCUUUCAGCAGAAAGUCCUUGACCAGCUGUAGGAGAAAGUGAGCUCCAGCCAAUGCCCUGUGCGAUCAUUCAAACGAUUUCCCCCAGGGCACUGCAGGAUUUAAGAGAAGAGGUGAAUGAUACGUAGACGUGGACAGACACAAAGAUGCAGAAGAGGCUGCUCUCCAUGAGGAGACGGCCUCACCAUGAUCUUUGCAGCCACCACUGCAGAGAGCAUCACCGUGGGCAGGUCUCAGAGAGGAUGAUGAGAUGCCAGUGGGAGAUAAAGUCCUGUGAUGGUGCCUGGACGGGCCGGGAAAGCUGCUGUCAGGGCUGUAAGAGGCUGACCUGUGUAGCACUUGGCAGACCCCGUGCACACACUGGUUCCUGUCUCUCCCUCGUGCAGAUGGCCACCUAGGAGUCCGUCUGGCUGCAGCUGCAGAGAGCCCACCCCAUGCAGUCGCUCUCAUGUUACUCUUCGUCCCGCACUUCAGUGUCAGCUCCCCUAAGGAUGCUCUUCCUUUACGUUCCCAUCGUUGGCCCUUCUGCUGUCUUAGUAAUUAUUUGUGCUUGGCCCAUAUGAGCAAUCCCUCUAAGUCCCUCCUAGCUCGUCAGAGCUUCCCACAUGGUUGUUGCUGAGAAAAAAAUUCACCCAAGAUAUAAAUAGCUUGACCUCUUAUCCAGGAAAAAAGAAAAAAAAAAAAAGAAAGUUUACUUAGGCUAUAAUGUUACACGCUAUUAAUUUGAUCUCGAGUUUUGAUUUGCAACGAGAGCAAUAACUAUUUCCUAUGCAUGAAGCGGGUGGAAGCCCACAGCCUUAUCUCCAUACAGAGGUUAUGCGAGUGCACGUGGAAGUCCAGCCACGUACAGCCGGUCAGGCUGCUGUGCUGCUUUAUGUGAAACAGGAACCCCUGGAAAAGUGAUUUAUUAAGUUGGAGCUGACAAGCGGGGAAUGAUGUUGCUUGGAAGAACAUUGUCAUGCAUUGUAAAAGCAGCUGGGAUACCGAUCUUGCGUGCCCGUCACCACCCGUGUCACCAGCCUGAUGAAAUUUUAUCUCCGUGGCUCAUCUGCUGGGGCUCUGCGGGAGGGAAUGCCACCCUCCGGUUCUCGGAUCGGCACCACCCAGGUAGCUGAGCAGAACAAAAUGGGUUAGUACAGGAUGGAAUAGCUCAGCUGGAAGGGCCCGUAACCAUCAUCCCAUUUAAUGCCUGACCUCUGCAGGGCUAGCUAAAAGAUGAAAACCAUUACUGAAGGAAUUGCACAAAGGUCCCUUGGGUGCUGACAGCCACAGGGCACUGGGUGCCUCACCAGGAGCCCAUUCAGUGCCUGCCCACCCGCAUGGCUCAGGGCUUUGUCCUCACUCCCCAGUGCGCUUUGUGCUGUCCCCAUGUGCCCACCACCAGUGACCAUGGAGCAG